UACGUAGGGGCAAGCGUUAUCCGGAUUUACUGGGUGUAAAGGGAGCGCAGACGGAACUGCAAGUCUGAUGUGAAAGCCCGGGGCUCAACCGCGGGACUGCAUCGGAUACUGUAGAUCUGGAGUGCCGGAGGGGCAAGCGGAAUUCCUGGUGUAGCGGUGAAAUGCGUAGAUAUCAGGAGGAACACCGGCGGCGAAGGCGACUUCCUGGCACAAGACUGACGCUCAUGUGCGAAAGCUGGGGUAGCGAACCGGAUUAGAUACCCGGGUA
rnacentral:rRNA from 1 species